UACGUAGGUGGCAAGCGUUGUCCGGAAUUAUUGGGCGUAAAGCGCGUGUAGGCGGCCCGAUAAGUCCGCUGUGAAAGUCCAGGGCUCAACCCUGGGAUGCCGGUGGAUACUGUCGGGCUCGAGUCCGGAAGAGGCGAGUGGAAUUCCUGGUGUAGCGGUGAAAUGCGCAGAUAUCAGGAGGAACACCAAUGGCGAAGGCAGCUCGCUGGGACGUGACUGACGCUGAGACGCGAAAGCGUGGGGAGCAAACAGG
rnacentral:rRNA from 1 species